AUCCUUUUGUAGUUCAUAAACAUGAUGAUCAGGUUUUCAUGCACCUGUGUGAGAUGUGCCUCCCUCAGACUUGUCACAAUUGGCACAUUACCCAUCUGAUG
ensembl:snoRNA